rnacentral:rRNA from 1 species
UUGGGAAUCUUGGACAAUGGGGGAAACCCUGAUCCAGCCAUGCCGCGUGAGUGAUGAAGGCCUUAGGGUUGUAAAGCUCUUUCGCACGCGACGAUAAUGACGGUAGCGUGAGAAGAAGCCCCGGCUAACUUCGUGCCAGCAGCCGCGGUAAUACGAAGGGGGCUAGCGUUGUUCGGAAUUACUGGGCGUAAAGCGCGCGCAGGCGGGUCAUCAAGCCAGAGGUGAAAGCCCGGAGCUUAACUCCGGAAUAGCCUUUGAAACUGUUGAUCGUGAGUACGGGAGAGGUGAGUGGAAUUCCCAGUGUAGAGGUGAAAUUCGUAGAUAUUGGGAAGAACACCAGUGGCGAAGGCGGCUCACUGGCCCGUUACUGACGCUCAGGCGCGAUAGCGUGGGGAUCGAACA